rnacentral:tRNA from 12 species
GCGAUAGCUCAGUUGAUAGAGCUUUGGUCUCAUAAUCAAAAGGUCGCAGGUUCA